rnacentral:rRNA from 1 species
AUGCAAUCUUAUGAAGAAAAGCUUGAGUUGGAAGUUUCUAUCCCUAGAAAUCUUUAUGAUGAGUGGGAAUCAACUAUUAAAAUUAAGAUUAAGGAUCAUGAAUUCUAUGCUUUAUGUGAUUUGGGUGCUAGUGUUUCCACUAUUCCCAAAACUCUGUGCGAUUUGCUAGAUUUCCGUGAUUUUGAUGAUUGCUCUCUAAACUUGCACCUUGCGGAUUCCACUAUUAAAGAACCUAUGGGAAGAAUUAAUGAUGUUCUUAUUGUUGCAAAUAGGAACUAUGUGCCCGUAGAUUUUAUCGUUCUUGAUAUAGAUUGCAAUCCUUCAUGUCCUAUUAUUCUCGGUAGACCUUUCCUUAGAACAAUUGGUGCAAUUAUUGAUAUGAAGGAAGGGAAUAUUAGAUUCCAAUUUCCAUUAAAGAAGGGCAUGGAAAACUUCCCUAAGAAGAAAAUAAAAUUACCAUAUGAAUCUAUCAUGAGAGCCACUUAUGGAUUGCCUACCAAAGAUGGCAAUACCUAG